rnacentral:rRNA from 1 species
AGAUUGAACGCUGGCGGCAGGCCUAACACAUGCAAGUCGAGCGAUAGAGAGGUGCUUGCAUCUCUUGAGAGCGGCGGACGGGUGAGUAAUGCCUAGGAAUCUGCCUAGUGGUGGGGGAUAACGUUCGGAAACGACGCUAAUACCGCAUACGUCCUACGGGAGAAAGCGGGGGACCUUCGGGCCUCGCGCCAUUAGAUGAGCCUAGGUCGGAUUAGGCUAGUUGGUAGAGGUAAUGGCUCACCAAGGCCGACGAUCCGGUAACUGGUCUGGAGAGGAUGAUCAGUCACACUGAACUGAGCACGGUCCAGGCUCCGUACGGG